UACAGAGGUCCCAAGCGUUGUUCGGAUUCACUGGGCGUAAAGGGUGCGUAGGUGGUUGGGUAAGUCUGAUGUGAAAUCUCCGGGCUCAACCCGGAAAUGGCAUUGGAUACUAUUCGGCUAGAGGUUUGGAGGGGGGACUGGAAUUCUCGGUGUAGCAGUGAAAUGCGUAGAUAUCGAGAGGAACACCUGCGGCGAAGGCGGGUUGCUGGGCUGACACUGACGCUGAUGUGCGAAAGCUAGGGGAGCGAACGGG
rnacentral:rRNA from 1 species